rnacentral:rRNA from 1 species
UAGGGAAUCUUCGGCAAUGGGGGCAACCCUGACCGAGCAACGCCGCGUGAGUGAAGAAGGUUUUCGGAUCGUAAAGCUCUGUUGUAAGAGAAGAACGUGUGUGAGAGUGGAAAGUUCACACAGUGACGGUAACUUACCAGAAAGGGACGGCUAACUACGUGCCAGCAGCCGCGGUAAUACGUAGGUCCCGAGCGUUGUCCGGAUUUAUUGGGCGUAAACCGAGCGCAGGCGGUUUAAUAAGUCUGAAGUUAAAGGCAGUGGCUUAACCAUUGUUCGCUUUGGAAACUGUUAAACUUGAGUGCAGAAGGGGAGAGUGGAAUUCCAUGUGUAGCGGUGAAAUGCGUAGAUAUAUGGAGGAACACCGGUGGCGAAAGCGGCUCUCUGGUCUGUAACUGACGCUGAGGCUCGAAAGCGUGGGGAGCAAACAGG